AAGACAGAGAGAAAAACAGGUUAAUUAACGAUAUUGAAUUUGCACAAAUGCAUAAAGGAGAAGAAAUGCGACCACAUAGAAGAAAAACCUGAUUCAAUAUUUUUACCAAAAAUGAGAUGGCAACUGUAACGACAAAAAAUAAUAGAGCUCCGUCAUGCCGUACAUCUUACAAGGAAUGGAGGAGAUUUUUCAAAUGGGAGGGGAACCUUGUCAAUUCAACAUUAAUCUUUUGGCCACACAAGAGUCUGAUCGAUGCGAUCGCUCACAAGUAAUAUUUAGAAAGAAAAGUUUAUAAAGAAUAUCUUUUGACAGUUGAAGUCUCACUUCCAUUGGUUUCUACUUUUGCCCAAAUCAUGAACUGCUGCUUAAUUUGUAGUGCUCGGUAAAAGAAAAAAAAGAGAAAAUCUUGAAAGGGAAAUUUAAUAUACACUAAAGCUGAAAUCUUUUGAAAUUACCCUCCCAGUUUUCUACCGAUAUUACCCUCCCAGUUUUGCUCUUAUUCCUAUUAUGUCCUGACAUAGUUAUACCCAUCAUAUAUGUACUGUAUUUAUUUUAUAUUUUCUGUUUCUUCGUUCUCCCUUCUCACUCUUCUCCUCGACUCAGCUGGCGACAACGACCAACCAACAAAAAAAAGGCCCUCGAUUGGUGUUUUUGGUUCCUCUCUAAAAGCCCCCCCUCUCUCUUUCGAAAAUUCCUCGCCGUUGCUCUCUCCUUGAUGGUUCAAUUCGGGUUUGGUUAAAUCCUAUGACGAGCUGGUGGUCAUACUCUUAAACAUCAUUAUCAUAUACGUGUGAGUCAGGGGCAGAGCCAAUUAAGGCUUAGAAGGGUUUCUCACUAACAUUUUGCUAAGUUAGUUGAGCUCUAAACCCUUCUCGCCUUGUAAUUAUUGAAUUCCUUACUAAUGUUGUUUGGCUUUUAAUUAAAUUAGGUCAAGAAAAGUUCUAUACUUAACUUUUGGAAUGAUGAUUAUCAGUCUACUACAUAGAUAUAUUGAAUUUAUUAUAAACAGUUAUGAAAAAUUGUGAAACACCAAAAGAAAAACAACAGAGAUAAUGCACAAGUAAAAUGAAUAAGGGAUUAUCCUUUAGUAUUUAAGCUAUAUAAUGUUUAUGGAUGUGUACCUUACCUUAUUGUGUAAAAUAAAAUAUCGUUGUGUAACAAAAUGGAUCUUAUACUCAUGUAAAAUUUGGAUCUACUUCAAAUUUGUCAUUAAAUAUAAUUUGGUUUUUGUUAAAUUUUUCAUCAUUUUGUAUAUUUUUCCUGUAACUUUCUGGGUUUUGGAGAAAUUUUCGUUAAAUUUCUUGGUGUUUUUUGUGUGAUUUUAUCUGAACUUUGUAGAUUUUUUAUAUGUUUUGUACAAUUCUUAGAUUAAAUUUCUGAUUUUGUAAAUGAUAGGCCAAAUUCGAAUUUGAAAAACAAUAUAUUACACCUGUGAUUUGUUGUUUAUGUGGUAAAAAAUAGGAUGUCUUUAUACUCACGAAGAAGGGUGGAGGAAUUUUGAGAUUAGGGUAAUAAACUGAAGUCUAUUUCAUCUGGGGACUUCCUUUGUACCAAGUAUUCAUAUUUGGUAAUAUCCAUUUGAUUUGGGGACUUCCUUUUCUCAGAAAGAAUCAUAUUUUAUUUUAUUACUUACAAAAAAGAUUCAUAUAAAGUUGAAGCUUAGUGUAUGAGAAGCAGAGAGGCAGAUU